UGCAAUAACCUGUUUGCAAUAACCUGUUUGUUUGCAACUCUCCUGGAUAACGCGUGGACCGCCUCUUCCACUGGAGCUCCUCUUCCACAGAACACCUAGACUACAAAAGAUGAACACACAAGAUUCUCACUGCCUUUAGCCUUUUCCCGAACGCCUCUCCUAUGAUUGGUUUUCCCUACACGGCCCGGGGUGUUAGUAUGCUGCGCUCUCUCCCACGUCACUAGUUUCAUAAAUAGAUUUUCCUAACGUCAUGCCAGAUCAUUGCAAUUGGUUCCCGUCGCUUCUGUUGAAUUCCUGAUAGGCUAGGAAAGUUGUUCCUCGAGGUAAUAUUGUGGUGAGCCUAUCCUACCUGUUUGCUUGUCCUAACCUUAGCAGCACCUACAUUAUUACCUCGACAUUCCCCUCCCACGGAUUCUGCCCUCGUUGGCAGCAUUGAAGGAACGUAGCCAUGAUAUAGCAGCUACCCGUCCACUGUACUAGAGAGAGAGAGAGCCAGCCAUCCCUUUAUAAUACACACCAGUUCCCAUUGAUCACCCAGCUACCCAACUGAUUUAGGGUAACGGACUUUACCAUGAGAUUGAACACUUAUUUUAUGUACUAUUGGAUUGGUCUUGCAUUAUUUUACAAUCCUUA